rnacentral:rRNA from 1 species
UACGGAGGAUGCAAGCGUUAUCCGGAUUCAUUGGGUUUAAAGGGUGCGCAGGCGGGCUGAUAAGUCAGAGGUGAAAUACUACGGCUCAACCGUGGAACUGCCUUUGAUACUGUCAGUCUUGAGUUUAAUUGAAGUGGGCGGAAUGUAGCAUGUAGCGGUGAAAUGCAUAGAGAUGCUACAGAACACCGAUAGCGAAGGCAGCUCACUAAGUUACAACUGACGCUCAUGCACGAAAGCGUGGGGAUCAAACAGG